rnacentral:rRNA from 1 species
UAUGUAACCUACCCUUAGUCAGGGGGAUAGCCUCUCGAAAGAGAGAUUAAGCCCGCAUAACAUUGAGACAUAGCAUUAUGAUUCAAUCAAAUAUUUAUAGGAUAAGGAUGGGCAUGCGGAACAUUAGCUAGUUGGUAAGGUAACGGCUUACCAAGGCUACGAUGUUUAGGGGAUCUGAGAGGAUGACCCCCCACACUGGUACUGAGACACGGACCAG